CAAUUCGGCAUCCAAUAAUACUUGAUAUAAUAUAUGGGACUGGGACUAUUUAAGUUUGUAAUUUAAGUAUACUAGCAUAAAAGUCCCCCACGGUCCCAGCUUGUCUGGCAAAUCAGCCGUCGGACAUCAGAGUAAUCUCGAACUAUGAAGUGAAAUACCUUCUCUCUCUCUCAGUGACUGCUGUGGAAAGUAAACUUGGAAUUGAUAGCACACAAAUAAAACACAAUAAGUACAUUGCUCGUACACUUGUAUCCGGGAUUAGCUAUUUUUAAAGUUGAGUGACUAUUCAGAUUUAUAUUACCUUUGCAUGUGCAGUUGAAUUAGUUUUGAAAAUAAUACUAUCCAGC
rnacentral:lncRNA from 1 species